AUGAACGCUAGCUACAGGCUUAACACAUGCAAGUCGAGGGGCAGCAUUUUAGUUUGCUUGCAAACUGAAGAUGGCGACCGGCGCACGGGUGAGUAACACGUAUCCAACCUGCCGAUAACUCCGGGAUAGCCUUUCGAAAGAAAGAUUAAUACCGGAUAGUAUACGAAUAUCGCAUGAUAUUUUUAUUAAAGAAUUUCGGUUAUCGAUGGGGAUGCGUUCCAUUAGUUUGUUGGCGGGGUAACGGCCCACCAAGACUACGAUGGAUAGGGGUUCUGAGAGGAAGGUCCCCCACAUUGGAACUGAGACACGGUCCAAACUCCUACGGGAGGCAGCAGUGAGGAAUAUUGGUCAAUGGGCGCGAGCCUGAACCAGCCAAGUAGCGUGAAGGAUGAAGGCUCUAUGGGUCGUAAACUUCUUUUAUAUGGGAAUAAAGUUUUCCACGUGUGGAAUUUUGUAUGUACCAUAUGAAUAAGGAUCGGCUAACUCCGUGCCAGCAGCCGCGGUAAUACGGAGGAUCCGAGCGUUAUCCGGAUUUAUUGGGUUUAAAGGGAGCGUAGGUGGAUUGUUAAGUCAGUUGUGAAAGUUUGCGGCUCAACCGUAAAAUUGCAGUUGAAACUGGCAGUCUUGAGUACAGUAGAGGUGGGCGGAAUUCGUGGUGUAGCGGUGAAAUGCUUAGAUAUCACGAAGAACUCCGAUUGCGAAGGCAGCUCACUAGACUGUCACUGACACUGAUGCUCGAAAGUGUGGGUAUCAAACAGGAUUAGAUACCCUGGUAGUCCACGCAGUAAACGAUGAUAACUCGUUGUCGGCGAUACACAGUCGGUGACUAAGCGAAAGCGAUAAGUUAUCCACCUGGGGAGUACGUUCGCAAGAAUGAAACUCAAAGGAAUUGACGGGGGCCCGCACAAGCGGAGGAACAUGUGGUUUAAUUCGAUGAUACGCGAGGAACCUUACCCGGGCUUAAAUUGCAACAGAAUAUAUUGGAAACAGUAUAGCCGUAAGGCUGUUGUGAAGGUGCUGCAUGGUUGUCGUCAGCUCGUGCCGUGAGGUGUCGGCUUAAGUGCCAUAACGAGCGCAACCCUUAUCUUUAGUUACUAACAGGUCAUGCUGAGGACUCUAGAGAGACUGCCGUCGUAAGAUGUGAGGAAGGUGGGGAUGACGUCAAAUCAGCACGGCCCUUACGUCCGGGGCUACACACGUGUUACAAUGGGGGGUACAGAAGGCGGCUACCUGGUGACAGGAUGCUAAUCCCAAAAACCUCUCUCAGUUCGGAUCGAAGUCUGCAACCCGACUUCGUGAAGCUGGAUUCGCUAGUAAUCGCGCAUCAGCCAUGGCGCGGUGAAUACGUUCCCGGGCCUUGUACACACCGCCCGUCAAGCCAUGAAAGCCGGGGGUACCUGAAGUACGUAACCGCAAGGAGCGUCCUAGGGUAAAACUGGUAAUUGGGGCU
rnacentral:rRNA from 1 species